rnacentral:rRNA from 1 species
UACGGGGGGGGCAAGCGUUGUUCGGAAUUACUGGGCGUAAAGGGCGCGUAGGCGGUUUGCUAAGUCGAAUGUGAAAACUCUGGGCUUAACCCAGAGCCUGCAUUCAAUACUGGCAGGCUAGAGUUCUGGAGGGGAUAGCGGAAUUCCUGGUGUAGCGGUGAAAUGCGUAGAUAUGACCCGGAACACCUAUUGCGAAGGCAGCAGGCUAAACAAAUAUUGACGCUGAGGCUCGAAAGCGUGGGGAUCAAACAGG